CAAAAAGAAAGGAAAAAUUUAAAUUAUGACCCCUUUAAAUAAAAAAGUUAGUGUACCUUUAAAUUGUGAAAUGUUAACUUGUUUUACAUCCAUAGUUACACUUCCUAUUUCCUAUGGUGUAAUGUUUAUUACUUUGUGUGUGUGAUUUUAUUCUCUUUCAGAAAUGUGGAAAUGUAAAAUUUGUGGAAUUACAGUUUCUGCAAGAUCUAAAUUACUAAAACAUCACAGACUGCAGCACAGACAUUAUGGUCGUAGUCAGCGAUAUUCUUGUACAUAUUCAGACUGUCCUUGUUCAUUCAAGACAUGGAAUGCUCUACUGAUUCAUCUAAGUAGAAAUCAUGCUUCACGCUCAGGAGUAAAUGACAAACGAAGGUCUACCUUCAGUUGUCAUUUGUGUGCAUGCAGUAAUCUUGCAUCAGAAAGAGAAUACUUUGUUCACAUAAACAGUCAUUUGAAGAGAAAUGAAACCGUUCAUUGCAUGUUUUCUGGCUGUAAUUUUCAAUCAAAUGUAUAUGGAACUUUUAAGUCACAUAAAAACAGAAAACACAGCCCACAUGCACUAAAUGACUUUAAGUUUGGUGUAGUUACCAUGUCUGAACAAUUAGCAGAGUCUGGAGAUGAAGCCGUUCAAGAUUUUGACAGUGAGGUCAGUGGUUUGUCUUUGGAUGAUGACAGUGAAAUGGCUAAUGACACUGAUGUUGUUGUUCAAAAUUUAGCAGCAAUGCUGUUAAAACUGGAACAUCUUGUACAUGUUCCUUCUUUAGCCAUUGAUGAUUUUUUGGAAGAGAUGCAUUACCUGUUAAAUUCUGUGUCCGUUCCUCUCUCAGUUGCCAGUGUACAGCAGGUGUUGGAAAAACAUGAACUUCGUGUUGAUGAAUGUGUUAUAAAGGAAAUAGCCGAUACCAUCGCAUCCAACCCAUUACACUCAGCCAUAGGCAGAGGCGGUUCUUUAUGCACUACCUAUAAGCGCAAGCAGUUUUAUAAGGACAACUUUAGUGUUGUGGAACCUGU
ensembl:lncRNA